UAAACGACUCUCGGCAACGGAUAUCUCGGCUCUCGCAUCGAUGAAGAACGUAGCGAAAUGCGAUACUUGGUGUGAAUUGCAGAAUCCCGCGAACCAUCGAGUCUUUGAACGCAAGUUACGCCCGAAGCCAUUAGGUUGAGGGCACGUCUGCCUGGGCGUCUCAC
rnacentral:rRNA from 2 species